AACGAACGCUGGCGGCAUGCCUAACUCAUGCAAGUCGAACGAAGGCUUCGGCCUUAGUGGCGCACGGGUGCGUAACGCGUGGGAAUCUGCCCUUUGGUUCGGAAUAACAGCUGGAAACGGCUGCUAAUACCGGAUGAUGACGAAAGUCCAAAGAUUUAUCGCCAGAGGAUGAGCCCGCGUUGGAUUAGGUAGUUGGUGGGGUAAAGGCCUACCAAGCCGACGAUCCAUAGCUGGUCUGAGAGGAUGAUCAGCCACACUGGGACUGAGACACGGCCCAGACUCCUACGGGAGGCAGCAGUGGGGAAUAUUGGACAAUGGGCGCAAGCCUGAUCCAGCAAUGCCGCGUGAGUGAUGAAGGCCCUAGGGUUGUAAAGCUCUUUUACCCGGGAAGAUAAUGACUGUACCGGGAGAAUAAGCCCCGGCUAACUCCGUG
rnacentral:rRNA from 1 species